CGACCGAGGACGUCACCUUCCGGGCGAC
rnacentral:sRNA from 1 species